rnacentral:RNase_P_RNA from 13 species
GCGGAGGCAGCUCAUCAGUGGGGCUAUGAGCUGAGUGUGUCACAUCACUCCCUUGUCCCUUGGGAAGGUCUGAGACUAGGGCCAGCAGCGGCCCUAACAGGGCUCUCCCUGAGUCUCGGGGAGGUGAGUUCCAAGAGAACGGGGCUCCGUGCGAGGGCAGACUGGGCAGGAGAUGCCGCGGCCCCUCUCCCCGGAGGGACCCGGCGGAUGCCUCCUUAGCCGGAGCUUGGAACAGACUCACGGCCAGCGAAGUGAGAUUACCAUGCCACCUAUUUUGCUUAUUUAUUUAUCUAUACCUAUUUUGC